CACACGGAGACUGGAGCGCAUCGGAGACAGAGAGCAGGAAUUGCAGAGGCAGAGGCGCACGGGCGCUCGGUCGAUUUUCGCCCUACCGCAUACUGGGGGAGUCCCGCGUCUGUCCCCGAAACCCGAGCGCAGGCUUUUAACGGGGCUUUUGGGUGCAGGCGCUGAUGUUGAGCCAGAGGAGCGGUUUUAAGGUUUAAGUGGAAGGACGAUCCUCCAGCCGAGGCGCCACGGAGGAGCUCAUAAGAAGCGGGGAAACGCCGCUUGGUGACGGCUGCUGACGGCUCCGUGACCCGGGCGAGUAGAGGCGCUGAGCCCUGCGACAGACAGCCAGCCAGCCCGCGUUGACAACCCGCAAACAGCUCCACCAGGGCUUUGCCUUAUGCUAGAGCAACCAUGGGCAGAAGACAGAGGCAGGGGAAAGAGAGAGAAAAAGUCUGUGAGCUCUCCACUGCAGUAUUGAUGACCCAAUGAUCCCCUGCAGAACAGAGCCAGUCAGGCACACCGACUCAGGCUCAACUCAGAAUCAAAAACCACCGCCGUUUGGUCGGAGCAACCGACUGAGUGGGGAAUGAAUGGUGUUAAAAGCUUCUGUCCCUACAAGCUGGUGAAAGUUUAAUAUACAGACAGCUGAAACCAUCUCUCCAAAUCCUGCCUUACUACCUGCAGAACUGUCCACUGGAUGAGUGGCUUGUUGGAUCUUCUGCAUUCAGGCCAAACUGGCGCUCCAUCAGGUCCUGGGGAGACUCAGACUGAGAAGAAGGGUUGUACUGUUGGACUGGAGGGACUGGAAAGUCCCGAGUGCUGGACAGGGGAGCUCACACUCCAUGGCGCGUUCCAGGAUCCCUUUCAUGAUGGCCUGGCACUUGUGACAUCUGACAUUGUCCCCGCCUCUCCAUCCAUCCUGGCAACUGAUGCUCAUCUGCAGGAAAGGCUGGGGCACAGCAUCUACCUGCAGAGUGACUCUGAGACCUGCAUGACAGCUGAGGCGGACACAUUUUCAGAGACACCCAGAAACAUGCAAACACACGUAGACCCAGAAGUGCAUGGAGAGGCUUUCUCAAACCCACACAUGGACAACUGUGGACUCGUGGAAAUCAGCAAUCGCACAGAUUCUAUAGAUUCAGAACUGUCGAAAACUCUCUCACUAGAGGCCAUGAACACAACCUCACCUCAGAUUUUGCCUUUGGCGAUUGGCAAUCAUCCUGCACCUACCAAUCCGCUGGAGGCCCCAGUCCGGACUGCGGAGUUUGACACGUCAUCAAACUAUGGUUCAGUCCCCUCUGGCCGUAACCCAAUAACGGUCUCCUCUUCUCUCCCUGUAGAGACAGAGAAGAAGUAUGCACUCCGCAGCUCUGGGCGUCCUCGCUUCCCCUUGCACCUGCGCAAAUCCUCUCGCCUGCAUCGAAGCAUGGAGGAUGGAGGGAAAGGAGCAGGCAGGGACAGGGGACGAGAAGAGGAGGAAACAUUAGAGGAGAAGAUCUGGAGGGUUAAAGAGGAGGAAGUCACUGAUGCUGAUAAAGAUGAACGUCCUUCUGUGGAGGCUGUUCUACCUGCAUCUACCUGCCAUAAAGAUACCACUCUUUCUUCCGUUGAACCUAAACCUGCUCCCAAACCUUUACUUAAACCUGGGCCCAGACUUGGGCAUAGACCUGGACCUAAAUCCAGGUGCAAGCCUCCACUGAAAUAUGUGCAUAAAGCAGCUCCUAAGAGCAUUUUAAAGCAGCGUCUGGCAGCACAGGCCCUCCGCCAGUGUGCUGCCUCUCCUCUCUCAUUUGAAUCUCCUCCAUCUGCUCCUUUGUUGACUAUGAAGAGAGAACCUGAUGCAGACUUGGGGGUCUGUCCUCCCACUAACAGCAAAAAAGGGCGUUAUGUUGGUGUCAGGAAGAUUGUUGUAAAGGUGCCUCGCAUUCCUGUCAGCCUUAGCCGCCGACAGAAGAGCUAUAAAAUUUCCAGUUUGGAAACAGUUACAGGGGCCGAGAAGAAUAACAACGGCAGUUCGGAGGGGUCUGAAGCAACACGAGAGCCAACUGCACUUCUUCGCAUGAAAAACAAUGGGAAAAGUGUUAUGGUGAUGUUCCCUCCUGGAGAGCUCCCCGUGAUUCUCAAACGCAGGCGGGGACGACCGCCUAAACAGCCUUUGCCAGGAAUACAGGUCGAAGCUCCCAGUGCUGGGACUGCUGCGGUAACUGGGGACCAGCCCAAGAAGCCUAGGAGGCGACGUCGGACUAAACUCCCUUGCCCAUAUCCAUCCUAUGUUAAUGACACAAAUGAUGUGAAAACUGAAUAUGGGGAUGUUCUCUCCAAAUUGGCAUUUUUAAACCGCCAGCCCCCAGCUACUGGCCGCUGCUCCCCUCCUCGCUGUUGGACACCAAGUGAGCCAGAAUCCUUUCACACCCCCUUGGAAAACCCUGGAAUAUCCACCCUGCUCCAUAGGCUCACCGGGACUAGACGCCCCAGAGGUGGCAGAGGAGGGGGGCUUGGCAGAGGUGGCGGAGCAGCGGGGGGCGUCAUGGGCAGCGAGAGCAAUAAGAGCACAUUCAGUGACUUCUUUGAAUCUAUUGGAAGAAAGCGGAAACUGAACCUCCUGUCUCAGCAUGGAUUACCGAGAAAAAGACGGAAGGGUGUGGGAGGAGGGGUGGGUAGGGGAGGGGGUAUGGUGGGAACAGCGCCUGGGGGCGAGAAAAUAGUCAGAAGAAGACGGAUUAGAAAAAAUGGUGCAUUUAAAGGGGGAGGACUGGGGCAAGAAUGGCCCAAUGGGACAGGUGGAUGGGAAGAAGAGGGGGUUAUGGAUAAGGAAAGAGCUUUGGGUGGGUAUCAACUCUGUGGAUCUCCAAGAGGGGGCUUUUCCAGUUGUAAUGUUGGACGAGGAGGGACCUACAGUGGUCUUGGUGGAAGCAAAGGGGGUGGGCCAGCAGGAGAGGACUCACAAGGACUAUUUGCUGGUUAUUUUCGAUCCCUGCUCGAUUCUGAUGACUCCUCAGACCUGCUGGACAUGUCCUCCCAGUCAGACCCCCGCAAAUCUUCAUCCUCUACCUAUGAUCCAUCCAGCUCAGCUGCCUCUCACAACUGGUCCCCUCCAUUCCCCAAGUGGAGCACUAAAGGAGCAAAUGCAGGGGUGGAGGUUUCAGCGCAUCCGCAUGGCUCCUCUGCGAGGCCUCCUUAUAGUUAUGGAAGCUUAGCCCAAAUAUCUCCCACCACCCCUUCGUAUCCUAAAUCCACUCCACCAUCUCUCUCACACGCUCCCAGCUCCCCCCAUCCUGCCUCUUAUGGUCACUACCUCUCUGGUUACUCCUGCUCCCCUCCUGUAGGGCCUCAAAGGUCCUCAGACUGCAGCUUUGGAUAUGGGUCACCUCAUGGCAGUGGCAAAGGGACUCCUGCCAAUCAAAUGGGUUAUUCUAAUUUCCAAGGAGCAAGCAAAAGAACAUUUAGUGGUUAUCCAGCAGUAAGCCAUUCCCCCAUGGGGAGGGGGGAGUCAGCAGGACCCACAUCGCCUGGAGGAGGGUACAUGUCCGUGGCCAAAGGUAGCCCCUUCAGCCCCUGUGCCCCAGAGGGUUACAAGCAGUACAACUCCAACCAGUGGAGCUGCAGGCAAGCUUUUGGUGGCUGGUCAGCAGACAACUUUGGGUCUCAGUAUCAUGGCUAUAGUGAAUAUGGCUCCAGUGAGUCCAAAGACAUCUUGGAUAUCUCAAACUACACCCCCCAGAAGGCUAAGCGACAACCGUUUCCUGAGAGCCUGUCAGAAUCCUCCUCGGACUCCUCACAUGUUGGCUCAACAGCGCCUAUUACUGGACCCAGCUCCACUGGUGGCAGCUAUAAGCAGAAUGAGGCUGGCUCUGUGAGUGGAGGCUUAUCGAGCCUGUCCAGCCUGGAGAAACUAAUGAUGGACUGGCAUGAGAGUGCUUCAGGACCAUCAUACAACUGGAGCCAGGAUGUCCUUUUCCAAGGUGGGGGGACCAGCAAACCCGGCCGUGGUCGCAGAAAACGGACUGAACAACAAUUAGAAAAGGAAGGUGGUUCUGCCUUACAUUCCGAUUCCCCAUCUAGUCCUUCCCCAACACCUGCUCUUGGACCUAAGCGGGGAGGGGCUGGAGGACGGGGCAGAGGUUCUAGAGGAGGUAGAGGAGGCCUGUCUCCAUGUCAGAGAGAGCGUCCAACUGGGUCCAAAGGCAGGGGCAAGACGGCCUCUGCGUCAGGAGCAGGAAUGAUAGCAUCUGCUGGGGGUCCAGAGGGGUCUGGGUUGUUCCAGGAGGGGGUGGAUUAUUACAGUGGAGACAGUAGCAGUCUCUCUCCCCUGGCCACUCCUAAUCCUGCUCCACCUUCCAGCUACCUCCAGGACACCUGUGAGUACCCCUCCCCUUACUCAGCCCAUCCCUCCACACCAUCCUCUGAAGAGCGAUAUCCAGCCUUAUACCCUGGUGAAUCCUCCUCUUCCCUUUCACCCAGUGUGUCAUCUCCCCCUUACCCUCCCAAGCCCACCCCUCCUCCGACCCAUUCCUACCACCUUCUCCCAUCCAGGACCUUUUCCCCCUCCUGCUCCCCCUCCCCACGAUUAACACCCCACUGUGGCAUAGCGCUCAGCCCCUCACACCGACCUCCUCCAAAAGACCCCCAGUUUUCUCAGUAUGACUCCCCCAGCUACUGCAGCUCUCCUUACUGGUAUGGACAGACAUCGCACAGCGGUAGCCCAAGCCCGCACUCAAACACAUCUGUGCAUGCCCACAGCAAUCCACACGCAAGUCCUCAUGGAAAUGCACAUCCUAAUCCCCUAACCAAUCCAACCCUAAACACGCACACACACAUAAGUGACACACAACAUCAGAGCCACACAAACCUGAGCUCACACACCAGCCUUCAUUCAGCCUCACACCUCCAAAGCAGUCAGCCCCACCUUAACACUCACCUCCCCUCCCACGUACACCCCAACCCCAGCCCUGGUCUGCUCUCCCACUCAACCCCUGGGCUUUACGAGGAGCGCAGCCCUCCAUCUGCCAUGGCCUCCCACAAGCGGGAUUUGGUCCCUCACAGCAUGAGCACAGGCCUUCGCCACGGUCUCCUCCCUCAUUCGUCUUACUCCAAACCUCCUCUAGACACCUCACCCCAUCAGGAGGACACCAGUGGCUUCUCCCUGCCCCAGCAAACCUACCAGGGUGUAGGACAUCGCUACCCUUCUCAGACCGCUCAGGGUGGAGGGGUGCUGUGCCAGCUCCUGGACCCAGUCAGUGAUGACAGCUUCAGCGUCACCAGCCUGUAACAACAGCCUUAUCUACCUUUCUCUCAACUCUGACGAGCUUCAAUGCUCCUGCUGAAGAAGAGCAUCCCCAAACCAUGAUUCUGCCACCACCAUGUUUUGCUGUGGAGAGAGUGCGCUCAAGGUUCAACUCAAGCUUUUACAGAUUUGCAAACAUAUUUUUUAAGGGGACUUCUUUGUGAAAGACUGAACUGAAGGGUGAGAAUUUAGCUGCCAGCUUUGGACAGUAAAGCUUUAAUUCUCCAGCACUGACAAUCAAGAUCAACCCAUGAAACUCAAGCAUGCACGUAUAGAAAAACACACGCAUACACUGAUACUCACUCAGACCGAAACGCACACAUGCAAAUAAAAACACACAGCAACACAUGUGCAGAUUAGAUCACUACCUAACCAUGAUCAUACGUGAGCACGCUGCCCUGGAAUGAGGGAACGGCCAAGAGGAGCUGACAGACGCCUGUGGAAAAAGAUGAACCUAUAUGUAUUUCCCCAUCCCUUUGGGUCCUUCUGUGACACAUGCAGUACCUUGCCGAGUCCUUUCCAUUUCUGUUCUGCAGUAUAGACAAAUUAGGAUCACUCUGCUUUCUUUCUCUCUUUCUCGCCCUUUCGUUUCUGUCUUCAAAACUUCCCCAUAUACUGCUGAAGCCAGCUGCAAUGUUCUGCACUCAAACCACUCAACUGUCUUGUGCCGCAACCUGAGCCGCAUCUGAGCCCAAAAAUCGACUUUUUUUUUUAAAUACCAUGAGCCUAGCCAAACGUCUUGCUCUGUGCACUUCUUGAUGUUUGUGUCCCAUAAGAGAAAAAGCAGACUAAAUCAGAUUCUGCUCUUGAAAUACCAGCAUCUGUAUAUAUGACUUCAGCUCCAGGCCCGGGGGGGAAGACGGUGGCAGGAUGGGGGGAGCCAUCAUCAACUUUCCCCUCUUCUGCGUCUUGCCGUGGUUUCUCUGCUCUGAUGGGGAGGGGGGAAGAGGAGGCAGAGGAGAAGAAGGAGGAGGACUGCAGCUUGGAGACUCAACAUCCUGUGUUUUGCUGUUUUAACUACAAGGGAAAGAGACACUGAAAUUACACAACGGCCCCAAAGGGACUCUUGGUUUUUUUUGUGUGUGGACUUCAGACAGAGGAUGGAUUUGUGUGACUGCAGUGAUGCAUGUAUUUGUGAGUUUGUUUGCUUUUUUCUGUAUGUGUGUGUGUGUGUGUGAGUGUGUGCCUGUGGGGUCAAAAGGAUUGAGGCUCCAGAGACGACAAAGUCUUGGCGGGCCCCAUUUCUUUCUUUCACUCUCUCCCUUCUUUUUUCCGUGGUCUUGUGUUGUAUGGUGGUUUUUGUGCUGCAAAAAAAAUUGUAUAUCUGUCUGUUACAUAUCAUGUAUGUAUCUGAGGUGCAAAAUAUUUAAAUACACAUUAUGUUCUUGCCAUUGGUAAA